UCCAGACUCCUACGGGAGGCAGCAGUGAGGAAUAUUGGUCAAUGGGCGGGAGCCUGAACCAGCCAAGUCGCGUGAGGGAAGACGGUCCUACGGAUUGUAAACCUCUUUUGUCAGGGAGCAAAGGGCGCCACGUGUGGCGCUUUGCGAGUACCUGAAGAAAAAGCAUCGGCUAACUCCGUGCCAGCAGCCGCGGUAAUACGGAGGAUCCGAGCGUUAUCCGGAUUUAUUGGGUUUAAAGGGAGCGUAGAUGGGUUGUUAAGUCAGUUGUGAAAGUUUGCGGCUCAACCGUAAAAUUGCAAUUGAUACUGGCAGUCUUGAGUACAGUUGAGGUAGGCGGAAUUCGUGGUGUAGCGGUGAAAUGCUUAGAUAUCACGAAGAACCCCGAUUGCGAAGGCAGCUUACUAAACUGUGACUGACAUUGAUGCUCGAAAGUGUGGGUAUCAAACAGGAUUAGAUACCCCCGUACAC
rnacentral:rRNA from 1 species